UGAUUAAGUAAGAAAGGGCGUACGGUGGAUGCCUAGGCACUUGAAACUGAAGAAGGACGCAACAAACGGCGAAACGCGGCGGGGAGCUGUACGUAAGCAAAGAUCCGCCGGUAUCCGAAUGGGGGAACCCGGCAUGCGUAAUAGCAUGUCAUCCGCAGAUGAACAAAUAGUCUGCGAGAGAGGUACCCGGGGAACUGAAACAUCUAAGUACCCGGAGGAAAAGAAAACAACAGUGAUUCCCUGAGUAGCGGCGAGCGAAAGGGGAGGAGCCCAAACCAGACCGAGGUCUGGGGUUGAAGGACCGCGAUACGGCAAGAAUCAUGGUAGGAGAACGGCAUUGAAAGGCCGACCGGAGAGGGUGCAAGUCCCGUAUCCGAAACCGUGAGGAAGCCCAGCGGGAUCCUGAGUACGGCGAGACACGAGAAAUCUUGUCGGAAGCAGGCGGGACCAUCCGUCAAGGCUAAAUAUAAGCAAGUGACCGAUAGUGAACCAGUACCGUGAGGGAAAGGUGAAAAGAACCGCGGGAGCGGAGUGAAACAGAACCUGAAACCGUAUGCUUACAAGAAGUCAGAGCACGUUAAGGUGUGAUGGCGUGCCUUUUGUAGAAUGAACCGGCGAGUUAUGUUAUCGUGCGAGGUUAAGCAGGAGAUGCGGAGCCGAAGCGAAAGCGAGUCUUAAGAGGGCGGCAGUACGAUGACAUAGACCCGAAACCGUGUGAUCUAGCCAUGACCAGGUUGAAGUUCAGGUGAAACUGAAUGGAGGACCGAACCGACCCCCGUUGAAAAGUUGGCGGAUGAGUUGUGGCUAGGGGAGAAAUUCCAAUCGAACACGGAUAUAGCUGGUUCUCCCCGAAAUAGCUUUAGGGCUAGCGUCGAGGAUGAGUCUUGUGGAGGUAGAGCACUGAAUGUACGAUGGCCCCAUCCCGGGGUACUGAGUAUAAUCAAACUCCGAAUGCCAUGAGAUAUUCCCGGCAGUCAGACCGUGGGUGAUAAGGUCCAUGGUCAAAAGGGAAACAGCCCAGACCGCCAGUUAAGGUCCCAAAAUGUAUGCUAAGUGGAAAAGGAUGUGGGGAUGCACAGACAACUAGGAGGUUGGCUCAGAAGCAGCCAUCCUUCAAAGAGUGCGUAACAGCUCACUAGUCGAGUGACCCUGCGCCGAAAAUGUACCGGGGCUAAGCAUACUACCGAAGCUGCGGAUUUGUAGUAAUACAAGUGGUAGGGGAGCGUUCCAUGCACGUGGAAGCCAUACCGAAAGGAGUGGUGGAGAGCAUGGAAGUGAGAAUGCCGGUGUGAGUAGCGAGAUGCAGGUGAGAAUCCUGCACACCGAUAGCCCAAGGAUUCCAGGGGAAGGUUCGUCCGCCCUGGGUAAGUCGGGACCUAAGGCGAGGCCGAAAGGCGUAGUCGAUGGAAAACAGGCAGAUAUUCCUGUACCCGCGAUGGAAAUGAAGGAAUGACGGAGAAGGCUAGCAUGAGCCACUUAUUGGAUUGUGGUCGAAGCGAAUAGCAGGUGCAUAGUAAAAUGCGUGCACGGAAUGUAAAACGUGAUAGGUAAGCGAAACCUUUGGGGAGUAGCGAAGCAUGCGAGGCCAGCUUCCAGGAAAAGUUUCUAGUGCUGAUUCCAUAGCGGCCCGUACCAAAACCGACACAGGUGGGCAAGGAGAGUAUCCUGAGGUGAGCGAGAGAACUGUUGCCAAGGAACUCGGCAAAAUGACUCCGUAAGUUAGCGAGAAGGAGUGCUUAUGAAAGUAAGCCGCAGUGAAGAGGCCCAAGCGACUGUUUAACUAAAACACAGCUCUCUGCGAAGUCGCAAGACGAAGUAUAGGGGGUGACGCCUGCCCGGUGCUGGAAGGUUAAGAGGAUUUGUCAGUUUCGACGAAGCAAUGAAUUGAAGCCCCAGUGAACGGCGGCCGUAACUAUAACGGUCCUAAGGUAGCGAAAUUCCUUGUCAGGUAAGUUCUGACCCGCACGAAAGGCGUAACGAUUUGGGCGCUGUCUCGGCAGCAGACUCGGUGAAAUCUUAGUACCUGUGAAAAUGCAGGUUACCCGCAACUAGACGGAAAGACCCCAUGGAGCUUUACUGCAGCCUGAUAUUGGAUUUUGAUCAGAGAUGUACAGGAUAGGUGGGAGACGAAGAAGGAUGCACGCCAGUGUAUCUGGAGUCGACGUUGGGAUACCACUCUUGUCUGAUUGGAGUUCUAACCUGCGUCCAUGAAGCUGGACGGGGGACCGUGUCAGGCAGGCAGUUUGACUGGGGCGGUCGCCUCCCAAAGAGUAACGGAGGCGCCCAAAGGUACGCUCAGAUUGGACGGAAAUCAAUCGGCGAGUGCAAAUGCAGAAGCGUGCUUGACUGUGAGACAAACAGGUCGAACAGGGACGAAAGUCGGGAUUAGUGAUCCGGCGGUGCCGAAUGGAAGGGCCGUCGCUCAACGGAUAAAAGCUACCCUGGGGAUAACAGGCUGAUCUCGCCCAAGAGUUCACAUCGACGGCGAGGUUUGGCACCUCGAUGUCGGCUCAUCGCAUCCUGGAGCUGAAUUCGGUUCCAAGGGUUGGGCUGUCCGCCCAUUAAAGCGGUACGCGAGCUGGGUUCAGAACGUCGUGAGACAGUUCGGUCCCUAUCUGUUGUGGGCGUAGGAGAUUUGAGGAGAGCUGUCCUUAGUACGAGAGGACCGGGAUGGACCUACCGCUGGUGCACCGGUUGUUGUGCCAACAGCAUAGCCGGGUAGCUAAGUAGGGAAGGGAUAAGCGCUGAAAGCAUCUAAGCGCGAAGCCUACUCCAAGAUGAGAUCUCCCAUACGCAAGUAGUAAGACCCCUUGAAGACGACGAGGUAGAUAGGUCAGGGAUGGAAGCGCAGCGAUGCGUGGAGUUGACUGAUACUAAUAGGUCGAGGACUUAAUCAAA
rnacentral:rRNA from 1 species